GAUGAACGCUAGCGACAGGCUUAACACAUGCAAGUCGAGGGCAGCAUGAUUUGUAGCAAUACAGAUUGAUGGCGACCGGCGCACGGGUGAGUAACGCGUAUGCAACUUACCUAUCAGAGGGGGAUAGCCCGGCGAAAGUCGGAUUAAUACCCCAUAAACAGGGGUCCCGCAUGGGAAUAUUGUUAAAGAUUCAUCGCUGAUAGAUAGGCAUGCGUUCCAUUAGGCAGUUGGCGGGGUAACGGCCCACCAAACCGACGAUGGAUAGGGGUUCUGAGAGGAAGGUCCCCCACAUUGGUACUGAGACACGGACCAA
rnacentral:rRNA from 1 species